rnacentral:rRNA from 1 species
GUAGGUGGCAAGCGUUGUCCGGAAUUAUUGGGCGUAAAGCGCGCGCAGGCGGUUCUUUAAGUCUGAUGUGAAAGCCCACGGCUCAACCGUGGAGGGUCAUUGGAAACUGGAGAACUUGAGUACAGAAGAGGAAAGCGGAAUUCCACGUGUAGCGGUGAAAUGCGUAGAGAUGUGGAGGAACACCAGUGGCGAAGGCGGCUUUCUGGUCUGUAACUGACGCUGAGGCGCGAAAGCGUGGGGAGCAAACAGGGAUUAGAUACCCUGGUAGUCCACGCCGUAAACGAUGAGUGCUAAGUGUUAGGGGGUUUCCCGCCCCUUAGUGCUGCAGCUAACGCAUUAAAGCACUCCGCCUGGGGAGUACCGGCCGCAAGGCUG